rnacentral:rRNA from 1 species
GAUGAACGCUGGCGGCGUGCCUAAUACAUGCAAGUCGAGCGAACAGACGAGGAGCUUGCUCCUCUCACGUUAGCGGCGGACGGGUGAGUAACACGUGGAUAACCUACCUAUAAGACUGGGAUCACUUCGGGAAACCGGAGCUAAUACCGUAUAAUAUCUUGAACCGCAUGGUUCAAUAGUGAAAGACGGUUUUGCUGUCACUUAUAGAUGGAUCCGCGCCGCAUUAGAUAGUUGGUAAGUUAACGGCUUUCCAAGGCAACGAUGCGUAGCCGACCUGAGAGGGGGAUAGGCCACACGGGAGCGGAGACAGGGUCCAGGCGACUACGGGAGGCAGCAGUAGGGAAUGUUCCGCAAUGGGCGAAAGUCUGGCGGAGCAACGCGGCGUGAGAUAUGAAGGUCUUCGGAUCGUAAAACUCGGUUACGAGGGAAGAACAAAUGUGGAAGUAACUAUGCACGUAUUGACGGUACCUAAUCAGAAAGCCACGGCUAACUACGUG